UCUCCGUUGGUGAACCAGCGGAGGGAUCAUUACAGAGUUGUAAAACUCCUAAACCAUUGUGAACGUUACCUCUUCCGUUGCUUCGGCGGGCUGCCCGGGCCCCGCGCCCGGCGCCCCCCCGCCCCCCGUGGGCGAACGCCGGAGGUCAACCAAACCCUUGAAGUGCAUGGCCUCUCUGUGUCUUUUGUACUGGAUAAGUCAAAACUUUCAACAACGGAUCUCUUGGUUCUG
rnacentral:misc_RNA from 1 species